AAAUUGAAGAGUUUGAUCAUGGCUCAGAUUGAACGCUGGCGGCAGGCCUAACACAUGCAAGUCGAGCGGCAGCGGAAAGUAG
rnacentral:rRNA from 1 species